CUACGGGAGGCAGCAGUGGGGAAUAUUGGACAAUGGGGGAAACCCUGAUCCAGCAAUGCCGCGUGUGUGAAGAAGGCCUGCGGGUUGUAAAGCACUUUCGGUUGGGAGGACUGCUUCUAGCACUAAUAUUGUUGGAAGUUGACGUUACCUUCAGAAGAAGCACCGGCUAACUCCGUGCCAGCAGCCGCGGUAAUACGGAGGGUGCAGGCGUUAAUCGGAAUUACUGGGCGUAAAGCGCGCGUAGGCGGCUAGAUCAGUCGGGUGUGAAAGCCCCGGGCUUAACCUGGGAACUGCAGCCGAUACUGGCUAGCUUGAGUACAGGAGAGGAGAGUGGAAUUCCACAUGUAGCGGUGAAAUGCGUAGAUAUGUGGAGGAACACCAAUGGCGAAGGCAGCUCUCUGGCCUGAUACUGACGCUGAGGUGCGAAAGCGUGGGGAGCAAACAGGAUUAGAUACCCGGGUAGUC
rnacentral:rRNA from 1 species